rnacentral:tRNA from 1 species
GGGCUGGUAGUUCAGGGGUAGAAUGCUCCCUUGGCAUGGGAGAGGUCGGGGGUUCGAGUCCCCCCCAGUCCA